rnacentral:rRNA from 1 species
GACGAACGCUGGCGGCGUGCUUAACACAUGCAAGUCGAACGGAAAGGCCCUUCGGGGUACUCGAGUGGCGAACGGGUGAGUAACACGUGGGUGAUCUGCCCUGCACUUUGGGAUAAGCCUGGGAAACUGGGUCUAAUACCGAAUAGGACCACGCGCUUCAUGGUGUGUGGUGGAAAGCUUUUGCGGUGUGGGAUGGGCCCGCGGCCUAUCAGCUUGUUGGUGGGGUAAUGGCCUACCAAGGCGACGACGGGUAGCCGGCCUGAGAGGGUGACCGGCCACACUGGGACUGAGAUACGGCCCAGACUCCUACAGGAGGCAGCAGUGGGGAAUAUUGCACAAUGGGCGCAAGCCUGAUGCAGCGACGCCGCGUGAGGGAUGACGGCCUUCGGGUUGUAAACCUCUUUCACCAGGGACGAAGCGUAAGUGACGGUACCUGGAGAAGAAGCACCGGCCAACUACGUG